rnacentral:lncRNA from 1 species
CUGGCAAAAUGGAGGUAGGGACCCUCCGAGGUGGAAUCAUGAUCAAACAGAGGGCUCUCCGCCCUCUGCUUCCCUUUUCUGGGGGAUACAGGGCGAUUGGCCCAAGUGGGCCACCCGAUCGUCGGAUUUUGAAACUCCGACGAUGCUCUUUCCAACCGCACAGAUGUUUGUGGCUGCUACUACUACUGCUGCAUGGCCUGCACCACUUCGAUGAGGUCCCUGACCUAUUGAACCAGUAGGUCAA